rnacentral:rRNA from 1 species
UACGUAGGGGGCAAGCGUUAUCCGGAUUUACUGGGUGUAAAGGGAGCGUAGACGGCUUUGCAAGCCAGAUGUGAAAGCCCGGGGCUCAACCCCGGGACUGCACUUGGAACUGUGUGGCUAGAGUGUCGGAGAGGCAGGCGGAAUUCCUAGUGUAGCGGUGAAAUGCGUAGAUAUUAGGAGGAACACCAGUGGCGAAGGCGGCCUGCUGGACGAUGACUGACGUUGAGGCUCGAAAGCGUGGGGAGCAAACAGG